CAUAAUAAAGGAGGUAGGACGGCAUUCUUUAUCCUAGUAGGCGGGAGCAAAACCCUCAUUCCCAGGUAUCUUUUGAAAGUGACCAAGUUUACUGUAAACCCUUCAAGAAAUGGAGAAAAACUCAUGUUUUUUAAAAAGCGGAAAGAAAAGAGUAUAUGGUUAUAGUAAUGAAAAAGCUGUUGUUUUAAGAUUAUGGUUUUCUCGUAUCUCCAAGGCUUGUUGCAGGAACAGAAAGAAAAUCUUUGUUGCAAGUAGUAUGAAUUUUAGUUUGGCACUUCAUUAUGUUUUCCUUGUUUUUGAUGAUCUUAGAGCCAAAGGACAAAACAAAGUACAGUUCUUGCCCCAGUCAUUGACCUAAAACGAGGAGGUUCCUCAGAUGACCGGCAAAUUGUGGACACUCCACCGCAUGUAGCAGCUGGGCUGAAGGAUCCUGUUCCCAGUGGGUUUUCUGCAGGGGAAGUUCUGAUUCCCUUAGCUGACGAAUAUGAUCCUAUGUUUCCUAAUGAUUAUGAGAAAGUAGUGAAGCGCCAAAGAGAGGAACGACAGAGACAGCGGGAGCUGGAACGACAAAAGGAAAUAGAAGAAAGGGAAAA